rnacentral:rRNA from 1 species
UACGUAGGGUGCGAGCGUUGUCCGGAAUUAUUGGGCGUAAAGAGCUCGUAGGCGGUCUGUCGCGUCUGCUGUGAAAUCCCGAGGCUCAACCUCGGGCUUGCAGUGGGUACGGGCAGGCUAGAGUGCGGUAGGGGAGAUCGGAAUUCCUGGUGUAGCGGUGAAAUGCGCAGAUAUCAGGAGGAACACCGGUGGCGAAGGCGGAUCUCUGGGCCAUUACUGACGCUGAGGAGCGAAAGCAUGGGGAGCGAACAGG